UGGUAGGGUGAAAUGUGUAACAAGGUUUCCGUAGGUGAACUGGUUUAACGGUCAUUA
rnacentral:rRNA from 1 species